AUGUUACUGGGAAAAACAGUUGGAGCUAAGCCAACGGCUGAGAGGCUUUUGGACUGGGCCAGACACAGUGGAAAUGUGAGCUGCAUAAAUACAGACAUCUUCAUUACAGAUUUCUAAUGGACUACUUCUGUUGAGUCUGUGGUAGAGUCUUCUGAACUCAUAUUGGACUGAUUAACCAUACCUGGAUUCAUGGUAUCCUCACCCCAACAUUGUGAUGUUAUUGCUCUUAAUCAAAAAUGUAGGAUGAAGACCAAGAUGUUGCCAUCAGCCAUUGCUGGCUGGGAACAUUGCUGAUGGCUGAAACCAAGUCUUUAUCUUCUUACCUUUUGAAGUUCACAAGGUGAAGAAAGCACUUGAUUUGCCUUAAAGCAAUUUGAAGAUCUCAAAGGACCACAGAAAUGUGUUAUUAAUUUAAAAAGUCAUUAUAUAUUAUAAUAAAAGGUAUUCAUUUUGAAGUGA